rnacentral:rRNA from 1 species
AUUAACUGGAACAAUCUACGCAACGUUACGCUUGAUCUGCCCUUAGGUGUCAUGACGGUCGUGACCGGCAUUUCCGGAUCCGGUAAAUCCAGCUUAACAGGUCAGGCAUUGGUCAGUAUCGUUUCCAAGGCGCUUGGGCAGAAAGAGCCUGUUGAGCAGCCUGAUGCAGACGAUAACGAUAUUCCAGAAGUUGUGGAAAGCGCUGAACCAGAAGGGCAGGUGGUCAGCGGAUUACAAAAUAUCCGGCGCCUCGUAGUCGUGGAUCAAAAGCCUAUAGGCCGCACACCUCGGUCUAAUUUGGCCACUUAUACGGGGCUGUUUGACCAAAUCAGGCAAGCUUUUGCUGCUGUGCCGCAGGCCAAGAAGCAGAAAAUGGAUGCCGGCUGGUUUUCCUUCAAUGUCGCAAAAGGGCGCUGCCCUCGUUGCGAGGGCGUGGGCUCUAUUGAAGUAGAAUUACUUUUCCUUCCUAGUGUGUAUGCCCCAUGCCCGGAAUGUCAUGGGGCACGCUAUAAACCGGAAGUGCUGGCUAUCAUGCUUAAUGGCCGCAAUAUCGCUGAUGUGUUGAAUAUGAGCGUUGAUGAAGCUCACGAGUUUUUUGCGGAUAGCCCGAACAUUGCGCAUGGGUUUGAUACCUUGCGGCAGGGUGGAUUGGGUUACUUACGUUUAGGCCAACCCGCCACAACGCUCUCUGGUGGAGAGGCGCAGCGUAUCAAGCUGGCAACGGAACUUCAGAAAAAGCGGGCAGGGCAUAUCUUAUAUGUUCUGGAUGAGCCCACAACCGGCCUGCAUCCCGCAGAUGUAGAUCGGCUAACACGUCAAUUGCGGCAGCUUGUUGCGCAAGGGCAUACGGUUGUGUUGGCUGAACACGAUAUGCGUCUUGCAGCACAGAGUGACUGGAUGCUGGAUAUGGGCCCGGGGGCAGGGGAUGAAGGCGGCCAGAUUGUUGCCAGUGGCAUACCCGCAGAUAUUGCCAAAAAUCCAGCAAGCCGUACGGGGCCUUUUCUGCGUGAAUAUCUAUAAAAACCUGAGAAUAUGAAUUUUUUCUGAUUUUGGGUGUUGACGGUGUAAUGGGAUGGGGUGUAGAAGCUGCUUCACCGAGACGGAGUGGUCUUGGCGGGUUUAGAAAGAUCUGCUAGGUUAUUCGGCUCUUUUGGUCUUUGACAAGAGAAUAUGAUAGAGAGGGAUAUGCUGACGGCGUGUCUUUCUGAUCUAGGCUUCGGUUUAGGUUGGGGGAAUUGAUAGGUUUUUAGGAACCUUUUGGACGUUUUGUUGGUAUAUCUUUUGAUAUGCGUUUUGACAGAUGUUUCGAAUUAGCUGGCCUUUUGGUGAGUUAAUUUAUUGAGAAGGGUCCUUAGUUUGUUGUGCUGCUUUGGUGGCAUGAUGAACCUGAGAGUUUGAUCCUGGCUCAGAGCGAACGCUGGCGGCAUGCUUAACACAUGC